rnacentral:rRNA from 1 species
AUUGAACGCUGGCGGCAGGCCUAACACAUGCAAGUCGAGCGGAUGAAGGGAGCUUGCUCCUGGAUUCAGCGGCGGACGGGUGAGUAAUGCCUAGGAAUCUGCCUGGUAGUGGGGGAUAACGUCCGGAAACGGGCGCUAAUACCGCAUACGUCCUGAGGGAGAAAGUGGGGGAUCUUCGGACCUCACGCUAUCAGAUGAGCCUAGGUCGGAUUAGCUAGUUGGUGGGGUAAAGGCCUACCAAGGCGACGAUCCGUAACUGGUCUGGGAGGAUGAUCAGUCACACUGGAACUGAGACACGGUCCAGACUACUACGGGACGCAGCAGUGGGGAAUAUUGGACAAUGGGCGAAAGCCUGAUCCAGCCAUGCCGCGUGUGGGAAGAAGGUCUUCGGAUUGUAAAGCUCUUUAAGUUGGGAGGAAGGGCAGUAAGUUAAUACCUUGCUGUUUUGACGUUACCAACAGAAUAAGCACCGGCUAACUUCGUG